AUGACAGAACUCACUCACACAACUCUGGUGAAGUUGUACAUGUUUGUCCUAGCAGGAUUGAAUGAUGCAGAAAGUGAUUUCAUCCAACAAAAUACUUUUGUUUUAGUCAGAAUUAGACGCUUCAUGCCUGGGAUAGCUAAGGAGGAGGUGGUCCUGGGGGGCCACCAGGAGGGCCUCCGGGGGGUCCUGGAGGGCCACCAGGUGGUCCUGGCGGGCCACUAAAAGGUCCAGGUGGUCCCGGCUGGCCACCAAAAGGUCCAGGCGGACCACCAGGAGGUCCAGCAUAAGGUGGAGCUGGGCCUGGUAGAGAUGGAGGUGGAGCAGGCGCAACGGGUGGUGGAGGAGCCGGAGCAGGAGGUCCAGGAGGUGCAUCACCUGGGCCGCCAGGAGGCCCUGGUGGAGGUGGACCGCCGAAGCAGUCUUGGAUCAAC
rnacentral:lncRNA from 1 species